rnacentral:rRNA from 1 species
UACGUAGGGGGCAAGCGUUGUCCGGAAUCAUUGGGCGUAAAGAGCGCGUAGGCGGCCCUGUAAGUCCGCUGUGAAAGUCAAGGGCUCAACCCUUGGAUGCCGGUGGAUACUGCAGGGCUAGAGUCCGGAAGAGGCGAGUGGAAUUCCUGGUGUAGCGGUGAAAUGCGCAGAUAUCAGGAGGAACACCGGUGGCGAAGGCGGCGUCCUGGACCAACACUGACACUGAUGAGCGAAAGCCAGGGGAGCAAACGGG